CAGUAGCCACGGUAAUACGUAGGGUGCAAGCGUUAAUCGGAAUUACUGGGCGUAAAGCGUGCGCAGGCGGUUUGUUAAGACAGAUGUGAAAUCCCCGGGCUCAACCUGGGAACUGCAUUUGUGACUGGCAAGCUAGAGUGUGGCAGAGGGGGGUGGAAUUCCGCGUGUAGCAGUGAAAUGCGUAGAUAUGCGGAGGAACACCGAUGGCGAAGGCAAUCCCCUGGGCCUGCACUGACGCUCAUGCACGAAAGCGUGGGGAGCAAACAGGAUUAGAUACCCGCGUAGUCCCUGUCUCUUAUAC
rnacentral:rRNA from 1 species